rnacentral:lncRNA from 1 species
GGCCAGAGUGCAUUGGAAACAUCAAAUUCUGUCUUUUUGGGGGAGGGGGGAGAUAUUGGGGAGGGGAGAGCGAGAGCAUUCACCUUAUAACUCCAGGUUUCAGUUCAUCAUCACAGGGAAGCAAGGCAAGCGCUGAAGUGGCUGAUCGAGUCACAGCCACAGUCCAGAGCAAAGAGACAAACUUCCCCCUUCUUGCCUGCCUGCCUGCCUGGUGGUUUGCUUAUUAAGCUCGAGGGUAAGCACCACUCGCUACCCAUCAACCCAUCUUGGCGGCUCUUGCUUGGCUUUUUGUGGUUGAUUUUUGUUUUUUGUUUUUUGACAAGACUGGGAUUAAAACUAGGAUGUCGUGAUGCCAAGCAAGCACCUCACCAUUGAGCUACAUCUGCAGCCUGGGAUUUCUUAUCUGUCUAAAUGUAGGAAUACCCAACACAAGAAGAUUCCCAAAGACUGAACGAAAGUACGAUGUCAUACUCCAAGCUAAUGAUGUCAUACACCAAGCUAUGCACCAAUCACGGCUCUUAUUUGAUAAUUGAGGAUGGUGUUAGAGAAUUUACUGUGAUCAGAAAUUGAACAUAGGGCUUCAUCCAUGUUAGGCAACAUACAUAUUGACAUAGAAGCACACCAUGAGCAGUAGAUUGCAUCCCUAACACCAUGAUUAAUCAAGGUA